rnacentral:rRNA from 1 species
AUUGAACGCUGGCGGCAUGCCUUACACAUGCAAGUCGAACGGUAACAGGUCUUCGGAUGCUGACGAGUGGCGAACGGGUGAGUAAUACAUCGGAACGUGCCCGAGAGUAGGGGAUAACGAGGCGAAAGCUUUGCUAAUACCGCAUACGAUCUCAGGAUGAAAGCAGGGGACCGCAAGGCCUUGCGCUCACGGAGCGGCCGAUGGCAGAUUAGGUAGUUGGUGGGAUAAAAGCUUACCAAGCCGACGAUCUGUAGCUGGUCUGAGAGGACGACCAGCCACACUGGGACUGAGACACGGCCCAGACUCCUACGGGAGGCAGCAGUGGGGAAUUUUGGACAAUGGGCGCAAGCCUGAUCCAGCCAUGCCGCGUGCAGGAUGAAGGCCUUCGGGUUGUAAACUGCUUUUGUACGGAACAAAAAGACUCCUUCUAAUAAAGGGGGUCCAUGACGGUACCGUAAGAAUAAGCACCGGCUAACUACGUGCCAGCCGCCGCGGUAAAAC